AGCCUGAUAGAAGGUAGUCGAAAGCAAAUACUUCAAGCACUAGCCAUCACAAUUACCUUAGGUAUUUACGCUACCCUUCUACGAGUCUCUGAAUAUUUCGAGGCCCCCUUUCCUAUUUCCCAUGGGCUCUAUGGCUCAACAUUCUUUACAGCCACAGGCUUUCCUGGACUUUACGUUAUUAUUGAAUCAACAUUGCUCACUAUCCGCCUCCUUUGCCAAUUAAAAUUCCACUUUACAUCCAACCACCACUUUGGCUUUGAAGCCACUGCCUGAUACUGACGCUCUGUCGAUGUACAAUGACUAUUCUUACACGUCUCUGUCUACUGAGGAGGAUCCUA
rnacentral:lncRNA from 1 species